CUACGGGUCGCUGCAGUGGGGAAUAUUGCACAAUGGACGAAAGUCUGAUGCAGCAACGCCGCGUGGAGGAUGACACAUUUCGGUGCGUAAACUCCUUUUAUAUAGGAAGAUAAUGACGGUACUAUAUGAAUAAGCGCCGGCUAACUCCGUGCCAGCAGCCGCGGUAAUACGGAGGGCGCAAGCGUUACUCGGAAUCACUGGGCGUAAAGAGCGGGUAGGCGGAUAGAUAAGUCAGGAGUGAAAUCCUAUGGCUCAACCAUAGAACUGCUCUUGAAACUGUCUAUCUAGAAUAUGGGAGAGGUAGAUGGAAUUUCUGGUGUAGGGGUAAAAUCCGUAGAGAUCAGAAGGAAUACCGAUUGCGAAGGCGAUCUACUGGAACAUUAUUGACGCUGAGACGCGAAAGCGUGGGGAGCAAACAGGAUUAGAUACCCCAGUAGUC
rnacentral:rRNA from 1 species